CAUAUGCCCUUCAGGAAAGGAUACCAAAAUGCCAGUUGUUCUCUGUGAACAUACUAGAAACCAGCAGGGACUGCAGGUUUCUGCACAGCCAUGCUGUGGCAGAAAUCAUUCUGUGAGGGCUGCAGUGCAGCCAUGGCCUUCAGGCUGGAGUUAUACCUGAUGACCACAGCUGAUGGGAGGGCUGCUUAGUGAUUUGAACUUGACUGUAGAACGCAAAUGGCACUACUCCCAGUUUUGUCCAUAUUUUCCAGUGCUCCCUAUCCAGAAACUUGUAAGUCUGAGCAUAAAAUAAAGAUCUGGAAGAGGAUCUUUUCCUACUUCCUGAACAUUCAUGGAUAACUACUGCCUUUCUAGUGGGAAUGACGUGUUGCUGGAAAUAGCAGCGGAAGCAUGUAGAGAAGACAUGGAGCUGUUGUUAAUCCUGUUGUAUCUGGGGGACACUGAAGAACAUAUCUUCAAAGGCAUUUAAAAACCUAUUCAGUAUUAGGGUUGGAGCUUUGGAAAUUUGGACUACAAAAGAAAAUAUUGAAAGAAUUGCCUAAAACCUCAUAUGGAGGACUAUUAUGGAGUCAGUUGGGUAUGCGCUGCAUGUGAGGUACUAAGGAUCUAAAACCAGAAGGAUAGUCUGAAAAAUUUUUCAAACUCAGUAAAGUUGUGCUGUGCUGAAAAGCACAUUGCUAUUUCUAGUUUGUAGUCUCCUGUCUCUGUGCAUAUAUACAUAAUUUGAAAAUCAGACAGUCUUUCCACUUACGGAUCCAAGUGAUUGCUAAGUCUAAACGACAUGGUCAGCAUUAUGGCAGAGUCUUGUGUGAGACAAGGCUGUGCAUUAAACUUAUCUCUUUCAUUUCUAAGCUUAAUGGUUAACUAAGAGUUGCCUUUCUUACCCCUCUGCUGAUAUUGAGUCAUAUAAAGCAGCAGUCACACAAGACCAAGACAACUGGAAACUUAAAUUCUAAGUAGUACAGGUGUUAACAAGAAAAUAUAUUUUUGUACCCUCUUCCCUGGGACAAGCUGUCUCUGUUGCAGCCUUUGAUUCUGCAUUCACUGGGAAGUGAGAGUCCUCAAGUAUUUCAAACAAGGAGACAAAAUAACUCAGGUUAAAAAGUAUAGGGAGGAUGAAUAGAUGGCAAAGAUACACAGACAUUUGUAACACAACAAAUUUUUGCCUAGCUUUAUACCGAAAAAAAAAAAUCAAGGUUCAUUGAAAGAUACGAUUUCUCAUUGUUGAUGUUUCCAGUAUUGGGAGUGGCUGGAACAUGAGUUAGUGUUUUCAAAGCUGGUUUGCCUCAUACUACUGAUGGCGCCCGCAAAGAUUAUGCAUGUAUGAGUUUUCAUUUCUCUGUAGCUGCAGUUGGCUCUGACACUGGAACAGUACAUUUCAGAACACCAUCCUGCAGGGAUGCUGGAUGUGCAGAGCAGCAUGAUCCUACUGAACUGUCACAAGUGAGAACAAGCACCUUCACCCUCAUCCUCUUCUGUGAGUGCAUGCUGUCACUUCUCAAGAAGACAACUGGUUGAACUGCUGUUUUCCUUCACAGAAAAGGCCAGAGACAUGGAGGGAAGAGGAGGAAAAGCACAACCCAGCAUAAGAAGGUGUCUACUGCUCCAAAUGAACUGCAAAGAUGUCAGGCACAUCAUGCUUUCUCCAAAGACAGCCUCUGUGAUAUCCCUGACAAAAUCAUUGUUGUAUAGUAAAUCCCCUGGUGGAGUAUCAAGUCUGCUGCUCCUACUUAGGACAAGAAAUACCCAGUUCAGCCGGCACCAUCAAUGCUCAAGGGUUAGCCGUUGCCAGCUCA